rnacentral:rRNA from 1 species
UACGUAUGGUGCAAGCGUUAUCCGGAUUUACUGGGCGUAAAGGGAGCGCAGGCGUUGCGCCAAGUCUGAUGUGAAACCCCGGGGCUCAACCCCGGGCAUGCAUUGGAAACUGGCGGGCUGGAGUGCCGGAGAGGUAAGCGGAAUUCCUAGUGUAGCGGUGAAAUGCGUAGAUAUUAGGAGGAACACCAGUGGCGAAGGCGGCUUACUGGACGGCAACUGACGCUGAGGCUCGAAAGCGUGGGGAGCAAACAGG